rnacentral:rRNA from 1 species
UACGGAGGGUGCAAGCGUUGCUCGGAAUUAUUGGGCGUAAAGGGUAGGUAGGUGGUCUCAUUUGUCUGGGGUGAAAGCCUUGAGCUUAACUCAAGAAGUGCCCCAGAAACGGUGAGACUAGAGUCUUGGAGAGGGUCGUGGAAUUCCCGGUGUAGCGGUGAAAUGCGUAGAGAUCGGGAGGAACACCAGAGGCGAAGGCGGCGACCUGGACAAGUACUGACACUCAACUACGAAAGCGUGGGGAGCAAACAGGG